rnacentral:rRNA from 1 species
GACGAACGCUGGCGGCGUGCUUAACACAUGCAAGUCGAACGAAGUGGCGAACGGGUGAGUAACGCGUAAUCAACCUGCCCUUCAGUGGGGGACAACAGUUGGAAACGACUGCUAAUACCGCAUACUGAAGGAGGGGAUUGCGUCUGAUUAGCUAGUUGGGGGGGUAACGGCCCACCAAGGCGAUGAUCAGUAGCCGGUCUUGGAGGAUGAACGGCCAAAUUGGGACUGAGACACGGCCCAGACUUCUACGGGAGGCAGGAGUGGGGAAUUAUCCGCAAUGGAGGAAAGUCUGACGGCGCAACGCCGCGGGAGUGAUGACGGCCUUCGGGUUGUAAAGCUCUGUUAAGCGGGACGCGGUACCGGAAUAGAAAGCCACGGCUAACUACGUGCCAGCAGCCGCGGUAAUAC